UGUUGUAGUCCAUGUAUGGUACAUUGUUAACUAGCAGUGGGAUGGCGUGCCUAUAACGCCUGCUACAUGGAAAAACAGACUCGUCUCAUGACGUCCUUCUCAUUGACGGAGCUGGAUUAUGACUAUAAGAAACCCGAUGGGUUUGUUGGAUUGUAGUUCUGUCAUUCGAGGGCAGGGAUACAUGACCUGCCAUAUGGGGCUGUAGCUUUUUAUACCCUAGGCCCUACCUGAAACAAGACCGUGAGUUCCAUUUCACCAUUGGAAAAAAUGUGGGGUUUGUUCUAUGUAGCUUUCAAGGUAAUAGGAUAUUUUUGAAAAAGAUUAUGCACGCAGUCACCACAGUAAGUUGCUACGGAUAACGGCAUCUGCUUCCUGGAUGACAAUGUGUGCGCAAUUAGAAAGUCAUUGUGAUCCCCAUUAGCUAUUGCAUAACCAUCAGCUACUCCCCCUGAGGUCCCGUCUGCCCAUGUGUUUAUGCUGCCAUAAUUAGGAGUGCACGGCAGGUGUGACUUUCCGCGUGCUUCUCCGCUAACUUCAAACAUAUGUUAAUAACCACACAAGCGCGUGUGCGCUGGGUCUAUUCACCUCCUUUCAGAUGGGGAUCUAUGAAAACUCUUCGCAAACGUGGCUGACAGAUGGUGCUGUCAUCACCCGGCCGAUGGUGAGCACAGCGUGCUGUUCAGGGCUGGCCUGUGCUGAAGUCCAUUAUCCACAGAACUAAAGAAAAUGGAAACGGGUUGAGGCUGGUCAAGUUUGUCCAGUAAGAAAAGAUACGAUCCUUAAAGAUAUUUCCGCAACAACCUAAUGCAAUCAAGUUUGUGUUUUCAUUCCUAAUGUUAUUUAUUUUAUCAACAAAAUGAUGGACGGUUUGAAUACACAGAUCUCAACCUGUUAUGUAGUGGUUUCAAUGACAGCUAAUUGAAGAUAAUGGCCAAAUGAAGAUGGGCCCGGCGACUGGCAGACUUUAAGUGAUGAUAUGAUCACAGUCUAUAAUGCUGCCUGGGUUCUCAGCUGAGAUGAGGAUCUCUGUUGCCAGGAUGUUUCCGUGGAAUCAGGGAUGUAUGUUAUGUAUUUACGUUUAGAGAAAUAUUGAAAUAAUGUAACUGGUUGGCACUCAGAUCAGAGACAAGAAAAGGCAGCUGGUUGAAGUGACAAUGCUGGGUGCUCCUCCUGCUGGUGUAAAGAUCAAAUUCCAAUUCCGUAAUAUCAUGACCACAUAAUCACCCCCCAACUUCCAGUUCACGUAUUCAUUGGCAAAACUCAAACAUUUUAGUCCCAUAAAGUAUAAUUUUUUGGUGAUAAUUUUCAGAAAUUGUUAACACAAAAAAACAAACAUAUUCAUUAUUUAUUAUAUUGGUUUCAACUUGAUUUCUGGUACUCUGUGUACACUGAGUGAUGGUGCAGCUAUUGUUCAAAUGUGAUCAUAGCUGUUGGAGUUAGGGGCUCUGGGGUGCUGGAGACGAGAUUCCUGUCUCCUUGAAUGUAGUACUCUUGAUUAGUUUUGAAAUAGAGAAAACGGCACUCCUUGUACAUCAGAUUAUUAAUGUAAAUAUAUGGACUAGCUUUUCUGCUUCUUAAUAGCUACUAAAUGUAAUAUAUGUAAACAUAUGUAAGAUUUUUACUGUACUACUUGGAA
ensembl:lncRNA